GGUUGGGCAGGAAACUGCUUCAAGUCUGAGCUUUAAGGGUGGGAAGCU
rnacentral:ncRNA from 12 species